UCUUUUGCCCUGGGGAAAAAAUUCUCUCCGAUUCUUUUCGCCCGAUGAGUAAAUCAUCCCGUUCCGAUCAUCCCUAGGGUUUGUGUUGUUCUUUUCUUUCCCCUUUUUGGUUUGAUUUCCCGGAAAGUUGAGCGAAAUGCUAAUCUCGAGAAGCCCGAAAUUUACCACCGAUGAAUGAUCCAUAUGAUCCGGUUGAUCAAUCGAACAUGGUUUAGGGUCUAAGUUUCCAGGACUUUGAUCUGGGUUUCGUAUGAAGGGCAAGGGUUUACACUUGUCUGUUGGAUCGGAGUUGGAAAGUUUCGGAACUUUUAUUUAUUUGUUUGCGUUAUGCUAAUGCUGCGUGGAUACGACUGCCCAUAUAUCUUCAUUUUGCUUGCUUGUCGAAUAAGAUUGCAGUAACGGAUACGCUUUGGGGUUGCGGGACAAAUUUCAAUGGUACAUUUUUUGGAGUGAGUGGACAUCCAUUUUUGUGGUCCAUAAGGAAUGAAUUUUGCAACGCUCUUUCCACUUCGUAGCUUACUUUAGCGCCAAAGCAGAAAAGCGAGUAUGCUUUCAUAAAGGUUUGUUCGAAGAUACGUUUUCCUUCUUUCAUCUUCUUUCGUUUUCUCCAGUAGCUUAGCUCUUCUAUCUCAUUUCGGUGUAUGGUUAGUAUUGGACUUAGGAAAACUGAAAUUGCAAGCUGGUAAUUGAUCUGUUUGUUGCCCUUUUCGUUAUGAUCUGUUUUUGUGAGGCUUGUAGAAAUAGCUCCAUGACCAUUGAGAUCUUUGAAGAUAAUCGCUAUUGAUCCCUUAGAAUGGUUAUUAUGUGGGAUCCGAUCAAAUGGCUAAAGAACAUCUUUUGGUACCAUUAAAUGUGUAACAUCUUCAGAACUCCGGGGCGUCUUAGUUUGAUGUCUGUACAAAAGUAGUAACUGAAUGAGCCAUGUCAACUUUUAUAUGUUUGCUCCAAAGACGAUUGAUUGAACAUAGACCUUGAUCUAUACUUCUCCCUUUCUUAAUCUGUCUUUUUGGUUCUGGUGACUUAUUUACUAAAGAGAAUUGACUACCAUGAUUUGGGGUGAAAACCAUCCGAGAUUCAAGUCCAUGAGGGUUCUGUUUUAUGUUUUGGGGGAGAAGUCUUUGCUUGUUGAUUUCAGACAAUCUGCGAGUUUCUCGUCAGUAGUUAAUUAGGAGCUUCUCUGACAUACAUUAUAGCCCCCUAGUAAAACUGUUCUUUUGUCUGGGUGAUGUAGAGGAAAUUGCCAUUUUGAUAUAUGGUGGGUACUCUGAAAUCUGAACUUUGGUGUUAUGAUGCUUCCAUCACUUGUUCAUUUUAACUAUAACAAUUCAUUUAGAAGUUGAGAAUGAUUUCUCUUCUUUUUUGGUGAAAGAUUUAGGCAUCUAUCCUAGCAAUGACAGAAAUUGAAUCUAAUCUAUAGGGCCCGAGGAUCAGUUAAAAGUUAUCAAUGUAAGUUUGAAGAUUCUCCACUUUCCAUGGCUCUAGAAAUUCUCUAAAAUAUCUACAUAUAUCUCUUGAAAAGUGCAAAAGUGCAGUGACCUUUUGCUAAAAGUCAUCACCUCGAUGAACUUUUCACUUGAGGUCUCAGAUAUAGCACUAGAUAUUAACACCCAGUUAGGAAUAGAAUUGGUUUCCAUUGCAUCUCAAAAUCCCGAAGCAGAGUUUCAAAUAGAAUGCAUAGUUGGAUGAUUCAGUAUUUAUGUCAAAUGGUUUCUGUAACGUGCCCAGCAUGUUACUCUUACAUGGAAUUUCUGAUGUAUAUUGUAUACCUUAGAGAACUUUUGUGUUACGAACUUACGAUGCACAAUUUGUUUCUUUUUUGCUACUAUUACAUGAUUUCUGUUUGUAAGAUAUGCAUAAUGGUUAUGGUAUACGUGAUUUAUUUUGGUAGCUUAUCGGCAGCUUUCAGAUCUUUAGAAGAUAAUAUCUGUGUGAAGAAAGGAAUUCAUCAGCUGAGCCACCUGUUUUGUGCAAGUGGUAGAUAUGCUGAGCUAUAUGGUUCUUUCAGGUGUCGAAAAUGAGGCGAUAAAAGAUUAUGCCAAGAGGCGGCAUAAGUGGAAUCUUCCAGCGUGUACGCUUUCAAGUGAUUUGGAAGUAGCACAAAAAAUCUAUUGCCAAGGAUCAAAAGGUAUUUUCUUUCCACCUCUGUGGUUCCUCUGGUCUGGUAAGCAUGGUGAAAUCUGCUUUUACUUUGCUCUUUAUGGCCAGUUAUAGCAAGGCAUACAUCUCUCCC